UGGGGAAUAUUGCGCAAUGGGGAAAACCCUGACGCAGCGACGCCGCGUGGGUGAUGAAGGCCUUCGGGUCGUAAAGCCCUGUCGUAGGGAAAGAACUGGUUGCAGGCUAAUAUCCUGCAGCCUUGACGGUACCCUACAAGAAAGCACCGGCUAACUCCGUGCCAGCAGCCGCGGUAAUACGGAGGGUGCAAGCGUUGUUCGGAAUUACUGGGCGUAAAGAGCGUGUAGGCGGCUGACCAAGUCCGGUGUGAAAGCCCGGGGCUUACCCCCGGAAGUGCGCUGGAAACUGGUCGACUAGAGUAUGGGAGAGGGAAGUGGAAUUCCUGGUGUAGCGGUGAAAUGCGUAGAUAUCAGGAGGAACACCGGCGGCGAAGGCGGCUUCCUGGACCGGUAUUGACGCUGAGUGAGCGAAAGCCAGGGGAGCAAACGGGAUUAGAUACCCCCGUAGUCCCUGAGCGGGCUGGCAAGGCGCAU
rnacentral:rRNA from 1 species